rnacentral:sRNA from 1 species
UGCAUUUGAGUGUAGGUUUGGAUCACAACAGAGCAUGGCUAAAGUUUUUAAGUAGAAGUCGAUCACCUCGCAUCUUAGAACUGUUAGCUGAA